rnacentral:rRNA from 1 species
UACGGAGGGCUAGCGUUGUUCGGAAUUACUGGGCGUAAAGCGCACGUAGGUGGCUUGGUAAGCGUGUGGUGAAAGUCCGGGGCUCAACCCCGGAUCUGCCGUGCGAACUGCUGAGCUCGAGCAAUGUAGAGGCAGGUGGAAUUUCGGGUGUAGCGGUGGAAUGCGUAGAUAUCCGAAAGAACACCAGUGGCGAAGGCGGCCUGCUGGGCAUUAGCUGACACUGAGGCGCGACAGCGUGGGGAGCAAACAGGAUUAGAAACCCUAGUAGU